UUGAAGUUCAGGUAACACUGAAUGGAGGACCGAACCGACUUACGUUGAAAAGUGAGCGGAUGAACUGAGGGUAGCGGAGAAAUUCCAAUCGAACCUGGAGAUAGCUGGUUCUCUCCGAAAUAGCUUUAGGGCUAGCCUCAAGUGAUGAUUAUUGGAGGUAGAGCACUGUUUGGACGAGGGGCCCCUCUCGGGUUACCGAAUUCAGACAAACUCCGAAUGCCAAUUAAUUUAACUUGGGAGUCAGAACAUGGGUGAUAAGGUCCGUGUUCGAAAGGGAAACAGCCCAGACCACCAGCUAAGGUCCCAAAAUAUAUGUUAAGUGGAAAAGGAUGUGGCGUUGCCCAGACAACUAGGAUGUUGGCUUAGAAGCAGCCAUCAUUUAAAGAGUGCGUAAUAGCUCACUAGUCGAGUGACACUGCGCCGAAAAUGUACCGGGGCUAAACAUAUUACCGAAGCUGUGGAUUGUCCUUUGGACAAUGGUAGGAGAGCGUUCUAAGGGCGUUGAAGCAUGAUCGUAAGGACAUGUGGAGCGCUUAGAAGUGAGAAUGCCGGUGUGAGUAGCGAAAGACGGGUGAGAAUCCCGUCCACCGAUUGACUAAGGUUUCCAGAGGAAGGCUCGUCCGCUCUGGGUUAGUCGGGUCCUAAGCUGAGGCCGACAGGCGUAGGCGAUGGAUAACAGGUUGAUAUUCCUGUACCAC
rnacentral:rRNA from 1 species